rnacentral:rRNA from 1 species
GGGACACGUGGUAUCCUGUCUGAAUAUGGGGGGACCAUCCUCCAAGGCUAAAUACUCCUGACUGACCGAUAGUGAACCAGUACCGUGAGGGAAAGGCGAAAAGAACCCCGGCGAGGGGAGUGAAAAAGAACCUGAAACCGUGUACGUACAAGCAGUGGGAGCACGCUUAGGCGUGUGACUGCGUACCUUUUGUAUAAUGGGUCAGCGACUUAUAUUCUGUAGCAAGGUUAACCGAAUAGGGGAGCCGAAGGGAAACCGAGUCUUAACUGGGCGUUAAGUUGCAGGGUAUAGACCCGAAACCCGGUGAUCUAGCCAUGGGCAGGUUGAAGGUUGGGUAACACUAACUGGAGGACCGAACCGACUAAUGUUGAAAAAUUAGCGGAUGACUUGUGGCUGGGGGUGAAAGGCCAAUCAAACCGGGAGAUAGCUGGUUCUCCCCGAAAGCUAUUUAGGUAGCGCCUCGUGAAUUCAUCUCCGGGGGUAGAGCACUGUUUCGGCAAGGGGGUCAUCCCGACUUACCAACCCGAUGCAAACUGCGAAUACCGGAGAAUGUUAUCACGGGAGACACACGGCGGGUGCUAACGUCCGUCGUGAAGAGGGAAACAACCCAGACCGCCAGCUAAGGUCCCAAAGUCAUGGUUAAGUGGGAAACGAUGUGGGAAGGCCCAGACAGCCAGGAUGUUGGCUUAGAAGCAGCCAUCAUUUAAAGAAAGCGUAAUAGCUCACUGGUCGAGUC